rnacentral:rRNA from 1 species
AGAGUUUGAUCAUGGCUCAGAUUGAACGCUGGCGGCAGGCCUAACACAUGCAAGUCGAACGGUAACAGGAAGCAGCUUGCUGCUUCGCUGACGAGUGGCGGACGGGUGAGUAAUGUCUGGGAAACUGCCUGAUGGAGGGGGAUAACUACUGGAAACGGUGGCUAAUACCGCAUAACGUCGCAAGACCAAAGAGGGGGACCUUCGGGCCUCUUGCCAUCAGAUGUGCCCAGAUGGGAUUAGCUAGUUGGUGAGGUAACGGCUCACCAAGGCGACGAUCCCUAGCUGGUCUGAGAGGAUGACCAGCCACACUGGAACUGAGACACGGUCCAGACUCCUACGGGAGGCAGCAGUGGGGAAUAUUGCACAAUGGGCGCAAGCCUGAUGCAGCCAUGCCGCGUGUAUGAAGAAGGCCUUCGGGUUGUAAAGUACUUUCAGCGGGGAGGAAGGUGUUGUGGUUAAUAACCACAGCAAUUGACGUUACCCGCAGAAGAAGCACCGGCUAACUCCGUGCCAGCAGCCGCGGUAAUACGGAGGGUGCAAGCGUUAAUCGGAAUUACUGGGCGUAAAGCGCACGCAGGCGGUCUGUCAAGUCGGAUGUGAAAUCCCCGGGCUCAACCUGGGAACUGCAUUCGAAACUGGCAGGCUUGAGUCUUGUAGAGGGGGGUAGAAUUCCAGGUGUAGCGGUGAAAUGCGUAGAGAUCUGGAGGAAUACCGGUGGCGAAGGCGGCCCCCUGGACAAAGACUGACGCUCAGGUGCGAAAGCGUGGGGAGCAAACAGGAUUAGAUACCCUGGUAGUCCACGCCGUAAACGAUGUCUACUUGGAGGUUGUGCCCUUGAGGCGUGGCUUCCGGAGCUAACGCGUUAAGUAGACCGCCUGGGGAGUACGGCCGCAAGGUUAAAACUCAAAUGAAUUGACGGGGGCCCGCACAAGCGGUGGAGCAUGUGGUUUAAUUCGAUGCAACGCGAAGAACCUUACCUGGUCUUGACAUCCACGGAAGUUUUCAGAGAUGGAAUGUGCCUUCGGGAACCGUGAGACAGGUGCUGCAUGGCUGUCGUCAGCUCGUGUUGUGAAAUGUUGGGUUAAGUCCCGCAACGAGCGCAACCCUUAUCCUUUGUUGCCAGCGGUUAGGCCGGGAACUCAAAGGAGACUGCCAGUGAUAAACUGGAGGAAGGUGGGGAUGACGUCAAGUCAUCAUGGCCCUUACGACCAGGGCUACACACGUGCUACAAUGGCGCAUACAAAGAGAAGCGACCUCGCGAGAGCAAGCGGACCUCAUAAAGUGCGUCGUAGUCCGGAUUGGAGUCUGCAACUCGACUCCAUGAAGUCGGAAUCGCUAGUAAUCGUGGAUCAGAAUGCCACGGUGAAUACGUUCCCGGGCCUUGUACACACCGCCCGUCACACCAUGGGAGUGGGUUGCAAAAGAAGUAGGUAGCUUAACCUUCGGGAGGGCGCUUACCACUUUGUGAUUCAUGACUGGGGUGAAGUCGUAACAAGGUAACCGUAGGGGAACCUGCGGUUG